ensembl:snRNA U6 U6 spliceosomal RNA
UUGCUUCAGCAGCACAUAUACUCAAAUUGGAAUAUGCAGAGAUUAGCAUUGCCCUUGAGCAGGGAUGACAUGCAGAUUCUUGACACUUUCAUGUUUUUA